rnacentral:rRNA from 1 species
UGGGGAAUAUUGCACAAUGGGCGCAAGCCUGAUGCAGCGACGCCGCGUGAGGGAUGACGGCCUUCGGUUGGUAAACCUCUUUCUAGCAGGGAAGAAGCGCAAGUGACGGUACCUGCAGAAGAAGCGCCGGCUAACUACGUGCCAGCAGCCGCGGUAAUACGUAGGGCGCGAGCGUUGUCCGGAAUUAUUGGGCGUAAAGAGCUCGUAGGCGGUCUGUCGCGUCGGAUGUGAAAGCCCGGGGCUUAACCCCGGGUCUGCAUUCGAUACGGGCAGACUAGAGUGUGGUAGGGGGAGAUCGGAAUUCCUGGUGUAGCGGUGAAAUGCGCAGAUAUCAGGAGGAACACCGGUGGCGAAGGCGGAUCUCUGGGCCAUUACUGACGCUGAGGAGCGAAAGCGUGGGGAGCGAACAGGAUUAGAUACCCUGGUAGUCCACGCCGUAAACGGUGGGCACUAGGUGUUGGCGACAUUCCACGUCGUCGGUGCCGCAGC